rnacentral:tRNA from 1 species
UGUUCUGUGGCUUAGUUGGUUAAAGCGCCGGUCUAGCGAAUACGGAAUUGUGGGUUCGAGUCUUACCAGAACGC